CCCAUGGAAACGUGGAUUAAUGCCUGAUAGUCUCUACGGAGUAAAUGGUGCCUUCGGGUAUCGCUAGAGGAUGGGCUCGCGGCCUAUCAGCUUGUUGGUGAGGUAAAGGCUCACCAAGGCGACGACGGGUAGCUGGUCUGAGAGGACGAUCAGCAACACUGGAACUGAGACACGGUCCAGACACCUACGGGUGGCAGCAGUCGAGAAUCAUUCACAAUGGAGGCAACUCUGAUGGUGCAACGCCGCGUGGAGGAUGACGGUCCUAGGAUUGUAAACUCUUGUCAUCGGGGAGUAA
rnacentral:rRNA from 1 species